GAUGAACGCUGGCGGCGUGCUUAACACAUGCAAGUCGAACGGAGUGCCUUUGAAAGAGGAUUCGUCCAAUUGAUAAGGUUACUUAGUGGCGGACGGGUGAGUAACGCGUGAGGAACCUGCCUCGAAGUGGGGAAUAACAGCCCGAAAGGGUUGCUAAUACCGCAUGAUGCAGCUGGGUCGCAUGACCCUGGCUGCCAAAGAUUUAUCGCUCUGAGAUGGCCUCGCGUCUGAUUAGCUAGUAGGCGAGGUAACGGCCCACCUAGGCGACGAUCAGUAGCCGGACUGAGAGGUUGACCGGCCACAUUGGGACUGAGACACGGCCCAGACUCCUACGGGAGGCAGCAGUGGGGAAUAUUGGGCAAUGGGCGAAAGCCUGACCCAGCAAUGCCGCGUGAGUGAAGAAGGUCUUCGGAUUGUAAAGCUCUUUGAUUAGGGACGAAAAAAUGACUGUACCUAAAGAACAAGCCCCGGCUAACUACGUGCCAGCAGCCGCGGUAAUACGUAGGGGGCAAGCGUUGUCCGGAAUUAUUGGGCGUAAAGGGUGCGUAGGUGGUUUAGCAAGUUGGAAGUGAAAUACCCAGGGCUUAACUCGGGUGCUGCUUUCAAAACUACUAGACUUGAGUGUGGGAGAGAAUAGUGGAAUUCUUAGUGUAGCGGUGGAAUGCGUAGAUAUUAGGAGGAACACCAAUGGCGAAGGCAGCCCCCUGGGAUGCGACUGACGCUCAUGCACGAAAGCGUGGGGAGCAAACAGG
rnacentral:rRNA from 1 species